AGUCGUAACAAGGUUUCCGUAGGUGAACCUGCGGAAGGAUCGUUAUCGAGUAUUCGGGUUGCCUCUCGGGGUCCCGUUUCUCUCCAACCCACUGUUUACAAACCACGUUGCCUCGGCGGGCAGCGGCUUCGGUCGCCUUAGGUUCUCUAUAUGGAGAACUCUCGAGCGGCUCGCCGACGGGAUCACACAAACUCCAUGUUAAAACAAGUCAAUUCUGAAUAACGUAAAUACUUCAAAA
rnacentral:misc_RNA from 1 species